CCUACGGGGUGCAGCAGUGAGGAAUAUUGGUCAAUGGGCGCGAGCCUGAACCAGCCAAGUAGCGUGAAGGAUGACUGCCCUACGGGUUGUAAACUUCUUUUAUAAAGGAAUAAAGUGAGGCACGUGUGCCUUUUUGUAUGUACUUUAUGAAUAAGGAUCGGCUAACUCCGUGCCAGCAGCCGCGGUAAUACGGAGGAUCCGAGCGUUAUCCGGAUUUAUUGGGUUUAAAGGGAGCGUAGACGGGUUGUUAAGUCCGUUGUGAAAGUUUGCGGCUCAAACGUAAAAUUGCAAUUGAUACUGGCAGACUUGAGUACGGGUGAGGUAGGCGGAAUGCGUGGUGGAGCGGUGAAAUGCUUAGAUAUCGCGAAGAACUCCGAUUGCGAAGGCAGCUUACUAAACUGCCACUGACGUUGAUGCACGAAAGUGUGGGUAUCAAACAGGAUUAGAUACCCUUGUAGUC
rnacentral:rRNA from 1 species